rnacentral:rRNA from 1 species
UAGGGAAUAUUAGAAAUGGACGAAAGUCUGAUCUAGCAACACCGCGUGUGCGAAGAAGGCCUUCGGGUUGUAAAGCACUUUUUGGAAGGAUUAGGAAGGAAUGUACUUCCAGAAUAAGUCUCGGCUAACUACGUGCCAGCAGCCGCGGUAACACGUAGGAGGCAAACGUUAUCCGGAUUUACUGGGCGUAAAGCGCGUGUAGGUGGUUCUGUAAGUAGGGCGUGAAAGCUCCUGGCUCAACUGGGAGAGGCCGUUCUAAACUGCAGAGCUAGAGGAUGGUAGAGGGAGGUGGAAUUCCGGGUGUAGCGGUGGAAUGCGCAGAUAUUCGGAGGAACACCAGUGGCGAAAGCGGCCUCCUGGACCAUUCCUGACACUCAGACGCGAAAGCUAGGGUAGCAAACA